rnacentral:rRNA from 1 species
CUCCGACAGCGUACACAUGCAGUCGAGCGGUAACAGGGGGUGCUUGCACCCCGCUGACGAGCGGCGGACGGGUGAGUAAUGCAUAGGAAACUGCCCAGUAGUGGGGGAUAGCCCGGGGAAACCCGGAUUAAUACCGCGUACGCCCUUCGGGGGAAAGCAGGGGAUCUUCGGACCUUGCGCUAUUGGAUGUGCCUAUGUCGGAUUAGCUAGUUGGUGGGGUAAAGGCCUACCAAGGCGACGGACCGUAGCUGGUCUGAGAGGAUGAUCAGCCACAUCGGGACUGAGACACGGCCCGAACUCCUACGGGAGGCAGCAGUGGGGAAUAUUGGACAAUGGGGGCAACCCUGAUCCAGCCAUGCCGCGUGUGUGAAGAAGGCUUUCGGGUUGUAAAGCACUUUCAGUGAGGAGGAAAACUCUGCGACUAAUACUCGUAGGGCUUGACGUUACUCACAGAAGAAGCACCGGCUAACUCCGUGCCAGCAGCCGCGGUAAUACGGAGGGUGCAAGCGUUAAUCGGAAUUACUGGGCGUAAAGCGCGCGUAGGUGGUUUGAUAAGCGAGAUGUGAAAGCCCCGGGCUUAACCUGGGAACGGCAUUUCGA